rnacentral:tRNA from 1 species
GCUCAUAUAGCUCAGGGGUAGAGCACUCCCUUGGUAAGGGAGAGGUCUCGAGUUCAAUUCUCGAUAUGAGCUCCA